rnacentral:rRNA from 1 species
GCGGCACGCCUUAUACAUGCAAGUCGAACGGAGUAGCAAUACUCAGUGGCAGACGGGUGAGUAACAUGUAGGUAUCUUCCCUUUGGUGAGGAAUAACACGAGGAAACUUGUGCUAAUACCUCAUAAGUCUUUACGGAGAAAGCUUUAUGCGCCAUUGGAUGAGCCUGCACUUGAUUAGUUUGUUGGUGGGGUAAUGGCCCACCAAGACUUUGAUCAAUAGCUGAUUUGAGAGGAUGAUCAGCCACAUUGGGACUGAGACACGGCCCAAACUCCUACGGGAGGCAGCAGUAGGGAAUCUUGCACAAUGGAGGAAACUCUGAUGCAGCGAUGCCGCGUGAGUGAAGAAGGCCCUUGGGUUGUAAAGCUCUUUCGUCGGGGAAGAAAAUGACUGUACCCGAAUAAGAAGGUCCGGCUAACUUCGUGCCAGCAGCCGCGGUAAUACGAAGGGACCUAGCGUAGUUCGGAAUUACUGGGCUUAAAGAGUUCGUAGGUGGUUAAAAAAGUUGGUGGUGAAAUCCCAGAGCUUAACUCUGGAACUGCCAUCAAAACUUUUUAGCUAGAGUAUGAUAGAGGAAAGCAGAAUUUCUAGUGUAGAGGUGAAAUUCGUAGAUAUUAGAAAGAAUACCAAUUGCGAAGGCAGCUUUCUGGAUCAUUACUGACACUGAGGAACGAAAGCAUGGGUAGCGAAGAGGAUUAGAUACCCUCGUAGUCCAUGCCGUAAACGAUGUGUGUUAGACGUUGGAAAUUUAUUUUCAGUGUCGCAGCGAAAGCAAUAAACACACCGCCUGGGGAGUACG